CUUGCGGACCGGGCCCCUCUGGCGCGCGCCUUCAUGGCGCUCGUGAUGUCGGACCGCAUCG
rfam:Erythrobacter marinus strain HWDM-33 contig1, whole genome shotgun sequence.